UACGUAGGGGGCGAGCGUUGUCCGGAUUCAUUGGGCGUAAAGAGCUCGUAGGCGGUUUGGCAAGUCAGGUGUGAAAUCUCCGGGCUCAACUCGGAGAGGCCACCUGAUACUGCUAUGACUUGAGUCCGGUAGGGGACCAUGGAAUUCCUGGUGUAGCGGUGAAAUGCGCAGAUAUCAGGAGGAACACCGGUGGCGAAGGCGGUGGUCUGGGCAAUUCCUGACGCUGAGGCGCGAAAGCGUGGGGAGCAAACGGG
rnacentral:rRNA from 1 species